rnacentral:tRNA from 1 species
UGGGGCGUGGCCAAGCGGUAAGGCAGGGGACUUUGAAUCCCUGAUCCCAGGUUCGAAUCCUGGCGCCCCAA